GAACUUCCAGCUUCUGCUGAUGGUGUAGGCAUCUGGAAAAUGUGUCUUUAUUAAAAUUACAUUUAAAAACGAGUGAUAUUCAGGGUCAUGACUUUCUGAACCCAUCAGAGAGCUGAAUUGCAGGGCAAUUAAAUAGUUUAAAAUGAAGGAAAGAGAGGUGCCUCCUACAAUAACAGAGAUGGGCUGCAAACAUUGGAUGACCUGUGGCAGAGCACGGAAAGAAGGCAAGGAUGACAGCUACAUGCAGACAAGGUCUCCAGAUUUGCCACCCAUGCUGAGUGCCGUGGUGUGAUCAUGGCUUAUUUCAACCUCAACCUCCCCCACUCAAGCGAUCCUCCUGCCUCAGCCUCUGGAGUAGCUGGGACUACAGGCACGCACCACCACACCCAGCCAUAAUUUGCCUCUUGCUGUAACUAAAAGGUCACAAAAACAAAGAAUUCUAAAAAAUCUUCUUCUUAAGUGUGCCUCACUACCACAAAUUAUGCAGUCAAGUCUCCCAUAUUUGGGGACAUCGCAGGGGUCAGCAUGUCCAGAGUGCAAUGGAUAAGCCUUGCCCUGGGAAAACCACCUUCGUGAUCAUGGUUAUCUCCCCUGCCAGGAUCUAACAUUGUGAUCGACACCAUCAUCCAGCCCAUCAUUCAAAUCUGAAACUUUGGAGAAGUAGUCAACAACUUCUCAUUCAGUUUCACCAUCCAAUCAGUCAUGGAAUCCUGAUGAUCUUUAACUUCCUCCACCUGGCCCAAAUAUCUCCUUUCCUCUCUCUUCCAAUUUUGUCUUUAUUCUCAUUGUUCUGUAAUUACACAAUUUUCCUACUGAUUUCUAGAAUGAAAAACUGCUGCAUUCAUUUCCAUUAUUAACAUUCUUCCACGUUUGUGUGUCUUUUGGGAUAACAACCAAGUAUUCUCAGAACAGCACUAUAAAGCAGUAUAAUGUCAAAGGGAUCUGAGAUCAAAGCUUUGUUCUAGAUAACAGACGAGAUUAGAUCUUGGCACUGUUAACACGAACAGAGGCUGAUGAAAGAGAAAUAAUCUGAGGAGGGUAUAAGGUUGCAAAGAAGGAAAAACAAUGCUAAAACGUUAAAGUAUAAAUAGCAGUACUAAUAAAGCCUACGAGGUGGUGGCCUAGCUCCAGAUAGUCUUUUGUUUAGCAGAAUACUUUGAUGGACCAGUUCUUUGAGGGAAAUUAUAUCGCAGAGCCUAAUCAAAAGAUGAAUAAAGAUAUUACUUUCCAGAAGCCAAGUUUUGAAUAGCUGGCCUUUGAGGGUGAGUGAUAAGCAGAGUAGAGAGGUUAAAUGGUGAGGUGAAUGCCAGGUGUGAUCCUGGGAGAUGAUUCAUGGACUCAUCCUGCAGAACCUCGAGAACACAGCCCUGUGAAUGUCCAGUAAAAGGUACAUGGGGGCACGUGGAUCUGGCAAUAUGAUUUUUCCCUACACAGAUUGACUUAGACCCUAAGAAGUAUGUUGCAGUACCAUUCAAGCAAUAGUUUUAGCUCUUUCAUUUAUCAACCCCCAAAAUAAUGAUCGGGCAGCUAAAGUGUGUACAGUUCUGUGCUGGAAGCUUUGAGAAAUGCCCAAAACAAUACGUUCAUGGAAUUUGUGGACUUGCUGACCAGGAGUUCUCUAUAACUUUUGUUAAAACCAACAAUCUAUGUUUCUACGUAUUUUCAGCCAUUCCCAUAUUUGAUUGACAAUAGAUAUUAUUACUAGAUGGUCAUGAGUUAGGUGUAACAUAGAAGAAAAAUGGAUUUCCAUGAAUAUGAGUGUAUUUCAUUAGUAAAAAAUAUUUAUUAAUGAUAAUAUUAAAGUGACAAAUAUAGUUUUACUACAUAAAUUGCCUGUAUAUACAAGUAAAAUACAUGCAUUAAUACUUUUCAGUAUAUUGUUUGAAAUAUGCUUCCUUUGCACAAAUGUUUUAAUCAAUUUGGUUAAUUUGACAGGUCUCGAAAUAUCAAGGAAUGGACAAUUUAGUUGAAAAUACCUUUAGAAAUUCAUAAAAACCAGCAAGAUGCUUUUGCCUAGUGUGCCAGAUUUUUCCAGUGCUGAAUUUUAAAAGGUUGUUAAGGUUGCUGUUAGAUGAAGUUUCCUCACACUAUCUAAAAAUAGAUUAUCUACAUAGCCUCUUCAAGUUCCGAACAUAUUAUUUUCCCCCAAGAACUUAGAGGACAAUCAAAUUCAAAUAAAAAUUUAAAAAGCACAUCAAAAAUCAUCUUGUUCACUGAUUCUCUUUGUUCCGAAUAAAGGACAUUCUUGUCUACUACUUUGGUAGGGAUUUUGAGAAUAGCCUCUGAAACACUUCUUUUCAGAGAGAAAUACACACACACACACACACACACACACACACCCCAGUAUACUCACCUGCCUUUUUGCAAUAUAUCUUGUGUUUUGCUUAUCCAUAGAGCUUUUCAUUUUAACAUCUCUGAAAUACAGAUAAGACACACAGUCAAGGGUGCCUGGCAAUCACUCUUGGCAGGGGUGCAUUUUCCAUAUAUGCUUAAAACUUCUGAGACCCAUGACCCAGGCUGUCCUCUUCCACGCUGUACUCCUAGGUAGGAACUGAAAAAGCUAUGUGGAUAAUAAGCAGGGCCAGCCCGGAAGGGUAGGCUGUCCUGUGCAAGAAGCCUGGCCUAUGGGGAGCACUGCUUUGCAUGGACCUCACCACACUCUGGGGCUCAGCCACAGAGGGGCAGUAUACCUGUUUUUCCCUCUAAUACAUACAACACAGCCUAUUGGAGCAUUUCUGUACUAGCCCCAAAUGUCAAAAAACAUCCUUUAAUCUCUUUAAUCUCUGAGCUUAAAUUUUGGUUUUACUUUAACUCUGUGAUCUUGGCAAGUUACAUAACCUUUUAGUCCAAAUGAUUGCUUAUCUGUAGAAUGGAAGUAGUCAUCCACUGUAUGGAUUUUUGUAAGAUUUUUGGUACAAUGCAGAUUAAAAUUUUUGCAUAGUGACUGGACCAUAGUAGGGGAUAAUAUAAGCCAACUAUUGUUAUCAUUUUUGUUGUUAGUUACCACCAUAAAAUCUAUUUUUAAUAAUUUCAAAAAUUAUAUUGAACAUUGUCUUUGAUAACAUCUGCUUUCAACACUUACGAUAUGUCUUCAAACUCACUAAUCAUAAAAGAUUUAACAUUCCAGAAGCCCAUCGGCCAGAUAUAUAAGUCUCUAAAAUAUACUUAAAAUAAUCUCCCCUCUAAUGAGCCAAGUAAGAGUAUUAGGAGUAUUGUGAUAAAGAAUUGGCAAAAAGAUUGAUAUCAAAGUGGAAGUUUUUAUUUGACUGCUCAAAUACAAUGAAGGAAUGAUUUAUUUCUUUGAUGUAAUAUGAAAAGUGGCCAGAGCCCUUUGAGGACAAUGAAGAACAAUGACCUCACCGAUGUACAUGCAGCCUAUUCCCCAGUAAUUAGACAAAUCAUCCAUUUUUGUUUACUUUGCCUCAUAUUUUGUGCUUUGACAUCAGAACUUGUUCCAUGUCCAAGUUUCCAGAUUUUUUUUCAAACUUUCAAAACUGAACAUUCAAUAUGUUUCUCCUGCGGUCUGUCCUAGCUGUCAUAGAGCACUUUACUCAUCACAUCAGCUGAAGAAGAUCACACCAUUGAUGAAAGCAAUAAUACAGCCAACAUUGUGCCAUAGAAAUAUUAAUCUGACUUCUGCUUAUUAGAUAUGCCAGAGGGCAGAAAUAAUGGAAACAAGUAUAUAAAUUGGAAUGCUAUUUCAAUAGUUUAGCUAAUAUAUAUUGGACUUGCUACCAUAAUGAAUAUGAUUGUUGAGAGAUGGGCACAGGUAUAAGAACUGAUCUCAGGAAUAAUAACUGAUAUUAAUUGAUUUGAUGAUGGAAAAGUAUAAAAUCUAGUAGUGAAGUUUGGAAAAUGAUACAGUUAAUAUAAAACACAAUUUAAAAUUGGGAACAGGUUUAAUAGGUCUGGAACAUUCUGGAUUUAUGUUCAAGUUAGCAUAGAAACGAAUAGGAAGUGAUUAAUAUUGAGACUAGUGCUUGAAAGAGAGAACAAAUAUGUAAGUUACUGGUAAAGAAUUUUCCACAUAGAGAGUGGUUCAGAAAAAGUAGCACAGCAUCAAAGAAAGAAGGUUGAAAACGUACUUUCUAAGACGUCUGGUGAAGGAGCUAAGAGGAAUACUCAAAAAGUGACAGAAACCUGGCUGUCCCAUGUCCCAUGUCAUGUAAAUCAAAGAAAGGGCAGAGUUCAAAAGAAAUAUUCCAGCAUUGGAGACUGUCAUAUAAUGAAGAUACAAUGCAGUAAACUGAGGAAUGGAAAAAGCCACUGGAUGUAUCUAAUAUGUUUACUACGGGUUUUCAAGAGAACAGUUUUUGUAGCCAGGAUCGAGCAAAAGCCUGGUUGAAAGGACAAAAGGUGUAAAACUGGAGAAGGAGGUGGAAAAUUAAAAGAAUUUGAAAGAGUUACAAAAAUGCCACCCUAAAAUAUGAUGCUUUGCUCUGCUGAUUACUUGGAACUGAGGGCACUUUGGAAACAGCAAACACAGGCAGUGCAGGCAGAGGCUUUCUCUGGGCUCUGCUCAUCUGUCCAAAGACGGGUCCUCCCAAAGGAACUCAACUGUCAUGAAUACCCUCCCUCGGCAUUCAACCAGGAAAGAUUAAAGGAUCACUGGAGAGAACAUUAGAAUUUCACCCCAUGCCCAUUCAAUCAUUUAUUCCUCCUAAAGCUGCAGAGACUGAAUCGGCAUAACAGGACAAUCUUUGUGCCCCAUACCUUUCCUCCCUUCACCCUUCUAUAACUUGUGUCACCACCACCCCCCAAGAACCCCACAAUUCUAUGCCUCUCAGCUCAGGAUGCUAUAUAAGCUUCAAUCAUCUGACCAUUCUUUGAGUCUCAUAUAUUAUGGGAUUCUCAUGUGUACAUAAUUAAAAUAUUUUCCGUAUUAAUCUGUCCCAUGGCAAUUUAAUUUUAGUCCAGUCAAAGAACUUAGGAAGGUAGAAGGAAGCUGUUUUUUACUCCCAUGCAUACCUCCAUAAUAGUAAAAGUAAUAUAUAUUAUAGAGCAAAAUACAAUAGAAAGAAAUCCUGAUAAAGAAUAAAGUCCAGAAUAAGAGCGAAAGUCAUGUUUUACAAAAGGAAAUACAUGAUAAAGUAAGAUCUACAGAGGUUGGAGAGAAUGCUGUUUAGUAAAUACAUUGUAGGUAACUUCUCAAAAUAAAAUCCUCAGAUAAAAAUGUAAAAAUUAAAUAAUCAAAUAUACAAUUUUUAUCAUUUAAAUUAAAUACAAUUAUUGAUAUAGUUACAUUUAAACCCAUCAUCUUACUAUAUAUUUAUUUUCUAUUUUUUCAUUUUACUUCCAUUGUCCCACAUGUUCUGGGUUUUUAAUUUUCUAUUUUCUUCCUUCUUUUGAUUAAUUAAUUGCUUUUUGUAAUUCAGUUAAAAUGUGCUGGCUUAUUAGCUGCAACUCUUCACCAUUUUAGCAUUUGCUGUAGUGUCUAGAGCAUACAUCUUUAACUUUUCAGAGUCUACCACAGUCUUUCAUGUUAUAUCCCAACAAUUCCUAUAGUAUAAGAAACUUACAAUUAUGUACUUCCCAUUUUUUAAUCUACAUUCUUUGUGCUAUUUUUUCAUGUAUUAUACUUUUACCCAACAUACACACAAUAUAUACACUUAUAUCUAUAUAUAUUUGUACAUACAUAUACAUUUAGAUGUGCUAUAAACGUUACAAUAUAUUGUUAUUAAUUAUACUUACAUUCAAUUUUAUCUUAAAAAUUUUAAAUAUGGCAAAUUGUGUAUAUUUGCUCAGGUAGUUCAUAUUUCCAGUGUUUUGCAUUGUUUUUUCUGUAUUCUUAUUUCAAUUUUAUACAUUUUCCUUCUCUCUACAAGAUUUUCUUUCAUACUUCAGAUAUGCAAGUCCGUUUGUGACUAAGUCCUUCAAACACUUUGGCUAAAAAAGUACGUAUUUCACUUUUAGUUUGGAAAGACAUUUUUGCUAAGUAUAAAACUUGAGGUUUAUGGAUUUUUUUUUCCUUUCAGUACAUUAAAAAUGCUUUUCUAUUGUUUUCUCUCUUGUAUUUUUAACAGUGAGAAAUCAGGCAUUAUCUUUUAUCAUUACUCCAUACAUAGCAAUAGCAGGUUUUAUUUUUCCUGAUAACAUUUAAUACUGUUUCUUUAUCCCUGGUUUUGAGCAAUUUGAUUGUGAUUUAAGUUGCUGUCAUUUUCUUCAUAUUGCUUUUUCUUUGAGUUUAUUCAGUGUCUGUGAUCUGUGGAUUUAUAAUUUUCAUCAAAUUUAGAAAAUUGUCAGUAAUCUUUUACAAAUAUUUUAUGUAUCAAUUUUUUCCUUCAUUUGGGGGGGCUCUCUUGAUACAAAUUGAUCAAGUAAUUACACUGCUUAAUUUCUCACAGCCCUCUGUUGCCCUCUUUUUUAUUUUUAUUUUUAUUUUUAACUUUGAGUUGUUUUGUUCUCCUUGUGUGUCAUUUUGGAUAGGUUCUAUUGCUAUAUUUUUAACUUGAUUAAUUUUCUGCAAUGUCUAAUCUACUGUUAAUACCAGAAGUGCAUUAUAUUUUUAAAAAUCUCAGACGUGAUAAUUUUCUUCUCUUUGUCUUCAUUUGGGUCUUUUUAUAUGUCAGAUAGUUCCACUUAUCAUUUUCAAUAUUUGCAACACAGUUAUUUUAACUGUAUUAACAUCCUUCUGUGUUAAUUUUAAAACCUAUCCCAGUUUUCAGUUGUAUUGAUUAAUUUUCAUUAUUCUUGUGAAUAAUAAUUUUACUUUUUUGUAUAUCUGUUAACUUUUAGUUGAAAACAAGUUAUGGUGAGGUUUACAUUUCUAUAUGCUACAUAUAUUUGCAUUCAAAUAAUUUUUCCUAUGGUUUGUAGUGGGAUAAAGAUACAUUGCUUGAGAGCAGUUUGAUUCUUUCAGGUUUUACUUUUAUGACUUGUUAGAUAAGUCCAGGAUAGUUCUUGGCCAAGGGCUGGUCAAGUCCCAUUUCUGGAGCAAGGCUUCCUGCAUGCUAUACCGCAGGCUCCAUGACUGAUGAAGUUUCCACCUGGCUGAAGAACGGUCACCUCUCAGAUUUGGGGGCAGUUCUUUCUCUAGCCUCAGGUAGUCUUCUCACAAGCAUGUGCUUAUCAGAACUUUGCUAAAUAAUCACAAGUACCCUCUUUAGUUCUCUGGUGUUCUGUCCUUGAGCAGUUUGUUCUUCUCUGACACUGUGCCCAGCAAACCCGAACUGCAUGGUUUUCCUAGCCUCUCAGCUCUAACUCCUCAACCUCAGGAGUCCACCAAGCUAUGCAUGGGCUCCCCAAUGGUAAUUUUAAUUUUAUGGGUCAACUCAACUAGACUAUAGUGCCCAGUUGUUGGGUCAAAAUCUAGUGUAGAUAUUCUUGUGAAAAUAUUCUGUAGAUGUGAUUAACAUUUACAAACACUUGACUUCAAGCAAGGGAGAUUACUGUUGAUAAUGUGGGUGGGCAUCAUCCAAUCAGGUGAAGGACUGAAGAUGAAAAUUGAAGUUUUCAAAGAAGGAAUUCUGCCUCAAGGCUGUAAUGUAAGAAAUCCUUCCUGAUCUUCUGGCUUACUAGCCUGUCCCACAGAUUUCAGACUUGCCAGCAGUCCUCCCCAACAACUGUUUGAGCUACUGCCUUAAAACACACACACAUAUACAAACACACACACACACACACACACACACUCUUCAUCCUAUUGGCUCUGUCUCUCUGUAGAACCCUAAGUGAUAACUGAUACACUAUACUUAUAUUUUGCCCUGGAAGCUCUUUUAAAAAUCAGACUUACCUCAUUGUUUCUCACCUAUCAGGAUUUCUAUCCUUGCUGCCUUUUGCCCAGUGUCUUAAAACCCAUUGUUUCAUAGACACUGCCAUAUUUUGUUUGUUUCAGGAGAGAAGGUAAAUCUGGUUUCUAUUACUCCUUCUCCUGGAACUGGGAAGUUUUUAGUAACGUUCUUAGGUAUCAGUUUCUCUAAGAUGGCUUCACUCUCUUUGGGCCAAGCAGCUACUUAAAUCUGGCUGACCUCUUUCCCUUUGACACCCUUUUAUGCAUCCUCUGGAUACUUCUUGCUCAGUGCUAUUGACUUCACUUUCAUGGAUAGGAUUCUACUUCACCCUUAACUUCAGACUGCACUAGCCAACCCCCCAACCUCUUAAUUCUAGUGUCCAUUCGCCCCCUUACUGGGGUACGGGACUCUCCUGGAAAAACAUAUAUUUUAUAAGAAUGAUAAGCCCACAUCCCCAAAUGAGUUUGUUAUCUGAUUACCAGGACUUACAGAUUUGGAUUACUAGAUAAAACCCUCUUCAUUUUUACAUUCAUCUGCCAGAAAUAAGUAGCAUUUACUUAUCUCAGGGUACAUGUCAAGGUGCAAAAAGAGUGACUGUGCUAUGGUUUGAAUGUUCAUCCCCUCUGAAACUCGUCUUGCAACGUUGUUCUCAAUUUUGCAGCGUUGAGAGGUGGGGCCUUUGAGAGGUGAUUGGGUCAUGAGGGCUGCCCUCAUGAAUGGAUUAAUCUAUCCAUGUAUUAAUGGAUUAAUGAAUUAAUGGGUUAUCAUGGGAGUGGAAAUAGUGACUUUAUAAGAAGAGGAAGACAGACCUGAGCGAACAUGCUCAGCCUCCUCACCAUGUGAUUCUCUGCAUGGCCUUGGUAUUCUGCAGAGGGGCCCCACCAGCAAGAAGGCCCUCAUCAGAUGUGAUCCCUUGAUCUUGGACCUGCCUACCUUUGGGAAAUAAAUUUUGUUUCUUGUAAGUUACCCAGUUUCAGGUAUUCCGUUGUAAGCAACAGAAAACAGACUAUGAUGAAUACCAUUUUUUCUGGCAUUAACUCACAAUGUCAGUUCAGGUUGCUCAUUAUAGUCUUCUGUGUCUUGGUGUCCACCUGUCUUCUUUACCUUUAUGGACUUUUAUAAAAAGGUUGUCUAACCAUCAAUCAUCUAUCUAGCACCUAAAUCUCUAUAUGUGUUUAUCUUUCCACAUUUAAAUAUCUAAAGGAAAAAUUGUACAUUCCAUUUGAAGAAGUCAUCCACUUACAUUUCAGCAGAGAGUUUUGGGAGGAACUCAAGAACACCUAAACAAAAAGAAACCUGAAGACCAGACAGUAGCAUGUUAUAGCCAAAUUCUGAUUAAAAUGUGUUCUUUGACAUUUGAGAGGUCUUUUGAUUUCUAAGUAAAUGUGUUUUGAUUGACUUAGGUAGUCCUGUUGAACCUGUUAGGUAGUUCUGUCCCGUGUCCCAUCUAUUAAAGCUUCAGUUGUCCUUGAUAUUUAAGAGUUAAUGGUGUAGUAAUUUGUGCCAUGACUAACAAGGCUGAAUUACUUGUCAACACUGUGGCAGGUAUCUGUUUCCUAGUAACUCUUCAUGGGUCAGAUAUUGAGGUCAGUUCUGAAGAACUUGAGGAAAUGAGAGUAAGUAAGGAGAGAAAUGCUGGGUCGGACCUUACAUUUAAAAUUUUUUUUCAUGGAGAAAAACAUGAUCUUUGUGAAGAUGGAAGCAACUGUAAGUAAGCACUUAUGGAAUGUCUAGAAAAUUACUAUGAGGUAACCCUAAGGUCAAUGGAAUGCAUUAGAAUAUCUCUGCUUCUAGAGAAAAAAUAAAAUAAAAUAAAUGCUUAGCCAGAAAAAGAAAACAUGAGAUCAAACUUCUGCGUGUAAUAUCUUAAAGAGAUAUGAUUCACUUAAAUAAUUUUCCAAGCCUCUGUUAUUUACAAGGCAAAAAAAGAGAUCAUUUGAUUAAAUUUAAAUGGAAGUUUAUUUUGCCUUUCAUGUUCAUUUCAUACCAAAUGUAUGACGGUGUUCAACAUAUUUUAUGUGCUUUCUAUACCCCCCGUUUGCAAUACAAGUUGUCUUAAAUAUGAUCAAUAGAUUCAGUAUAUUGAUGUCCUUUGAAUGAUACUGAGAGCACAAUUUUGUGUUUGUUUUCUGUCUAAUCAUUUUCAGAAUCUGCUAUGAUGACACAUAUGGCAGGAUCUAUGAUAAAGCAAUUGUGCGUAUACAGACAGAAAUGAACCUAAAAUAUAACUUUGUAUUAAUGAAAAAAAUUGACAUUUGAUGGCGAAUAUUGUUAAUUGCAAUAAUAAGUAGAACACUGAAUGUAUAUGUAGAGGGCUGAGCAGUGUCCUCCCGAAAUAAAUACCUAUGUGGGAUCUUAUAAUGUGACCUCAUUUAGAAACAGGGUCUCUGCAGAAGUAAUUAGUUAAGGUGAGGUCAUACUGAUUUAGAGUGGGCCUUAAAUCUAAAGAAUGGUAUCCUCCUUAUAAGAAGGAGGAGGAUACACAGAGAAACACAGGAAAGGCCAGAUGACCACAGAGGCAAUGGAACAGACACUCUCCCAAAGCCUACAAAAGGAGCCAAUCCUGCUGACACCGUGAUUUCAGACUCCUGGCCCUCUGAGUUGUGAGAGUACAUUUCUGCUAUUUUAAGUUUGUAGCCAUUUGUUACGGCAACCCUAGGAAACUAAUAUAGUGCAUCCUGAUUACACUUAAAAAUUAAUUAAGUUAACUCUACCUCCAUAUUUCCCCAUACACUUUGUAUAAUCUAAUUUUUAAAUCAAGAUAAUAUGAUAGACUUUAAAAAAUAAUCUUCCCAAGCUACCUAAUUAAUUUUCUUCCAAUAACAUUACUCAGCAUAGUUUUUAUUUCUAAUGAAAAAUAUACAGCAAAGGAUUAUUUAUAAUGUGAUGGUUAACAUCAGUGUCUUGCUAAGAGUGUCUCACUCUUAAUACAAGAGACCUGUCUUUCCAAUGCAGUGCACUUGGUGGUGCACCUCCCACCGCCCCCUGGAGGACAAAGUGCUCAUAGCCCAAUUGCCCAGAAGGUUGAUCACAGGCAGCUCUCAGCUGAGACCCUCUCUGCAACUUCCCUUUGCUAAAGACAGCCACUUUGCCCCAAGACCAUGCCUCCUUUUUGGGGCAGCACACAUAGGAUGCCAAACAACAGCGGGGAUAAAGGCCAUCCCUUUUGUUUUCAUUAGGCAAUGCUCUAGUGCCUUUCCAGUUAGACAGAGCCUGCUGGGGUGGGUCGGUGUGACUGCUGAGGUCUUGUGAGAGCGUGAAAGCUUUCCACUUCCUCCUCUGCCCAGUCCUCCUUGUUCCUUCAUUACCCAAGAUGUGUUCAUCCCAAAAGCACCCCCAAUACAUUUCUUGCACACAAAUAUCAGUCUCACUGUUUUGCUUUCCCAGAAACCCUGAGUCACAGGAGAAAUAUCUUCAAGUCCAAUCUAAGCCACCAGUUCAAUCAUAUUUAGAAAAAGUUGAUAGAAUAUUCUGCCACAGUUUUCUCCCCAACAAAAAGAAGUCUGUACUCCUUGGUUAUUUGGCUUAGGUCUCCUAUAGGUCUAAACUACUGAGCAAUUCUAUAGCUAUUCCAUAUAUUUUCUCCCAAAUAAUACAAGCCCAAUAUAAUGGCAUAUGCUGGUUAUGAAAUAUGGAAAGGGUUGAGCUGCGGAUGUGAAUAAUAGCACAUAAAUACAUAUUUUCUGACCAUAGUCUGUUCAAUAUUUAGGAUUUUGCAAAAUGAAAAGAGAUAAUAAACAUAAGAAACAUGAAAAGGAGAGAAAGAGGGAAAUGAAGAGACUGUGUUUUGAGACAAAAAACUAAUUUUUAUUAACUGUGAGUAUUAAUGCUAUGGUCAAACUUUAGCAGUCAGUGUUAGCACAUGGUAGAUAUAAAUCACCUGAAACAAAGCUUACCUUUUCUUCCCAGUCUUCUCACUCUAAUCUAAAAAUUAUGAAAAAAAAAUGGACAAGGAAAGAAACAUAAGAGGCUUCUUAUUUCUUGCAUGCUCACUUUUAUACUGUAACUAGAAGAUUCCAAACAAAUACUGAUUGCAAAUUAUAUAAGGGAUGCUGCAUUUUGAAAUAAGUUAUAACCUCAACUCUUUUUUCCUAUUUAAUAUAAGUUUUGUAGGCUAAACUUGCCCUCUGAGAAGAUUGUUGAACAGGCAAGUGAAGUAAUUUGCUUGGUGUAAUCUUGGUGCUGAGGGAGAUAACUCCUUCUGUAUGAUAUUUAUAUAACGAGUCUUAUACCCACAAUUAGCUUUAGGAUGCCAUCUUAAAGGUGACCUUGAUUUAUUUAGCUGGUUAGUCAGUAGAUACUUUAUGGAGUUCAAUAUUCUAAAGAUUGAUCAGAAAAGGAAACUUUUAAUGUCCUUAAUGGGGUCAUUAGUGAUAUUACGGAGUGAAAUUAAACUGAAGGACAACCUCAACAAACCUUUUUUUAGUUCUAAUAGCAUACCCCUGGGAAAGUUAAUAGCUAGUAUAAAUUGGUGCCUAUUUCCUUUAUCUCAUUUUCAUUAUCUAGCUUAAAUAGAUAACAGAUGAUUAUGUUGAAUAUAAAUUAGAAGCAUUGCCUGUUUUCUAAACUUGACUCUUAUAAAAAUAAAUGCAUAAACCUUUAUAAAGUCAAGGAGAAUUUUUAUGGAGAUUCCAUGGUACUUUCCAAAAGUUGGUACUUUUUUAUGGUCAAUAACAGAACUGUUAACUUUUUUCACUGUGGAAUGACAGCAGUGGAUGCGUGACUCAACCAUUGAUUUCAAUUUUGAUUUGUGAAUAAUUACUCCAGAUGAUGAAGUGUGAGUUGCAACUCUCAUCAGGAAGGAAAGUAUCAGCCAGAGAGACAGUUUUCCACAUCCUAGGACAGAACACAGUUUCAUGUGCUGCACCCCAGUGAGGACUCUGUGAUACCUGGAGUGAACUCUGGAUAGAGAAAGAGAUUUAAAAGAACACCUGAAGGGAAAUAAGAAGAGAAACAGAAUAUGAAGAGGAUUCAACCAAAUAGAGCCAAUGAAGGAGACAGAGCAACUUAAAUAAUAAGAGCAAUUUUAAAAAAUGGGACAAAAAGGAAAGGAUACUCAGUGCAUAGUUGAUGGCUUAAGAAAAUAAGAUUUUUUUAUAUUAUACUUUAAGUUCUAGGGUACAUGUACACAACAUGCAGGUUUGUUACAUAUGUAUACAUGUGCCAUGUUGGUGUGCUGCACUCAUUAACUCGUCAUUUACAUUAGGUGUAUCUCCUAAUGCUAUCCCUCCCACUUCCCCCACCCCAUGACAGGCCCUGGGGUGUGAUGUCCCUCACCCUGUGUCCAAGUCUUAUUGUUCAGUUCCCACCUAUGAGUGACAACAUGCAGUGUUUGGUUUUCUGUCCUUGUGAUGGUUUGCUCAGAAUGAUGGUUUCCAGCUUCAUCCAUGUCCCUACAAAGUAGGACACGAACUAAUCCUUUUUAUGGCUGCAUAGUAUUCCAUGGUGUAUAUGUGCCACAUUUUCUUAAUCCAGGCUAUCGUUGAUGGACUUUUGAGUUGGUUCUAAGUCUUUGCUAUUGUGAAUGGUGCCGCAAUAAACAUACAUGAACAAAAAAAGUCCUUUUUUCAUGAUGUUCUCUUAUUUCUUGCUGAAAUAAAUGAAAAGAUUCAGUAUGUCCAAGUAUCCUUUAUAGCUAGGACCAGUGGUAUAGGAAGCUAGCCUCAAACUGUUUAUAAUAAAUAUGCAGGGAAAUCCAGAUAUUAGAAAGUCCAAUGAUAAAUCCAGUAUAAAUUUAUCAUAAUACAUAUUAAAAAAUAAAGCAAAUAAAAGCACCAAAAAGCCAACUAGAGCUAACAAACAAGUUUGCCAGAUCACAGAAUACAAAAUGAACAUAUAAAAAUAAAUAAAACCCAGUCACAAUAGUAUCAAAGACAAUAAAAUACUUAAGAAUAAAUUUAACAAAAGAAGUGUAACACUUGUAUGCUGAAAACUACAAAAUAAUGAUGAGAGAAAUUAAAAAUCUAAAUGAAUCAAGACACAUUCUAUAUUUAUGGUUGGAAGUCACAAUAUGUUAAAAUACCAUUUCUACCUUAAUUUAUCUGUCAAUUUCAACAGAAUCCAUUUCAAAGUCGCUGUGAGCUUUUUUUGUAGAAAUUAAAUGUUGAUCCAACAAAUUUAUACAGAAAUGAAAGUACUUGAAGCUUGAACCGUUUUCAAAAAAAUGAACAAAGUUGUAGGACUCAUAUUGCCUAAUUUAAAAAAUUACUAUAAGGUUGUAAUCAAGACAUUAUGAUAUACAUAAAGGAAUAGGUUAGAUCAGUGAAACAGUGUCAGAGUCAAGAAAUUUACCCCUACAUUCAUGGUCAAUUGCUUUCCGAAAAAACUGCCAAUUCAAUUCAGUUUGGAAAAGAUUGUCUUUUUACCAAAUGGUGGCAAGACAAUUUAAUAUCUACAUAAAAAAAUAAGAAGAAGAAGGAGAAGGAGGAUGAGGAGGAGGGGAUGGAGGAAAAGCUUCAUCCUUACCUCCUCAUGCCAUACACAGAAAAGAACUCAAAAUGCAUUACAGACCUAAAUGUAAAAUCCAAUAAUAGAAAGCUUCUAAAAGAAAACACAGGAGAAAAUCUAUAUGACCUUGAGUUAAACAAAGAGUUUUAGACGUGACAGCAAACACACAAUCUAUAAAAGAAAAAGAAAAAAUAAAUUAUAUUUCAAUAAAAUUAAAACAUUUUGUACUUCCAAAGAUACCAUUCAGAAAAUAAAAAGACCAGUUACAGACCAGGCAAAAACAUUUCCAAAUCGUAUAUCUGAUAAAAUACUUGCAGCUUAAAUGUAUUAAGAACUCUUAUAUCUCAGUAACAGACAACUCUAUAUUAAAAUGGACAAAAGGGUUUUUUUUAACAAAGAAGACAUAUGCAUGGUUAAUAAGCACAUAAAAAGGUGUUCAACAUCAUUAAUCAUUUUGGCAGUUUCUUAAAAAGUAAACUAUGAGCUUAUCAUAGAUUCCUACAAUUUUUCUCCUAGAAAUCUACUCAGUAGAAUAUGUGUAUCCACACGAGGACUUGGACAUAAGCACAUACUGCAGAAUUAUUCGUAAUAGCCAAAAAUGGCAACGUUCCAAAUGUCUAUCAACUGAUGAAUGAACCAACAAAAUGUGGUAUAUCUAUGCAGUGAAAUGGUAAUCAUGAUAAAUGACAUGAAUGAACUGCUGACAUAGUCCAUGACAUGGAUAAAGCUAAACUAUACUAAGCCAGGCAUUGGAAAACUUUUUUCUUAAAGGGCCAAAUAGUAAAUGCUUUAGGCUUUUCAGGUCCUAUUGUCUCUGUCAAUAACUCAAUUCUAUUGUUCCACAAAAGCAGCCAUAGACAAUGCAUAAACACAUGAGCAUGGCGUGUACCAUGAAAACUUUACAAAAAGAGACAGCAUGCCCACAACCCAUAGUUUGCCCCAAUCUGUGCUAAGUAAAAGAAAGAAAAUGCAAAAGUCUACAUAUUAUAUUAUUCCAUUUACAUUACAUAUCCAGAAAAGGCAUAUUACAAGAAUAGAAAACGGUGGAUUCCUGGGUCUGGAUGAGAGAACUGAGAUUGACUGGAAAUGGACUUGGGGAAAGUUUUAGGGGGAUAUAGUAAUUUUGUAAUCAUGGAUUAUGGUGAUUCCAGCACCGCUAUAUAAAUUUACUAAAUAUCAUUAAAUUUUCCACUUACAAUGAGCAAAUUUUGUGGCAUGUAAUUUAAACCUCAAUAUAGCUGUAAUGAAUAAACAAAAAGAAAAAUCAAGACUAAAUAAAAUAAGCAAUUGUUCAAUUCCUAUCAUUGGAAAAUGGAAAAGUAAGAAAUAUUUACAGAAAAUAACUUAAAUGUCCUUCUUGCUACUGUUGUAAGAAAAAGCAAAUAUUGGCAGUUAAUUAUGAAAAUAUUUCUCAUGAACUCAUGACCAAAAAUGAAGAGAAAUUUCAGAAAAUUUGCCUGCUCUGUCUGAUUGAUUUGUCGGCUUCUGAAUGAUCCUCUCCAGUCUCUCGAUAACUAGCAAGAUUUACAAGCUCUGCCAAUGUCAAUUGUCACCCACGUUGCAGAAUAUUCAGCAUAGUCUGAAGACCCUGGUCAAAGGGGAAAAUAUAAUAGAUUUUCAAUAAGUUGGUGUUGACAACUAGUAAAAUGACUAUACUUUUAAAAUUUAAUUAAUAUAUGUAAAAGUAGUAGUAGCUGAACUGUCAUAUUCUG
rnacentral:lncRNA from 10 species